AGUGAACGCUGGCGGUAGGCCUAACACAUGCAAGUCGAACGGCAGCACCGUAAGAGCUUGCUCUUACGGGUGGCGAGUGGCGGACGGGUGACGAAUACAUCGGAAUCUACUUUUUCGUGGGGGAUAACGUAGGGAAACUUACGCUACUACCGCAUACGACCUACCGGUGAAAUCAUGGGAUCUUCGGACCUUGCGCGAUUGAAUGAGCCGAUGUCGGAUUAGCUAGUUGGCUGGGUAAAGGCCCACCAAGGCGACGAUCCGUAGCUGGUCUGAGAGGAUGAUCAGCCACACUGGAACUGGGACACGGUCCAGGCUCCUACGGGAGGGAGCAGUGGGGAAUAUUGGACAAUGGGCGCAAGCCUGAUCCAGCCAUACCGCGUGGGUGAAGAAGGCCUUCGGGUUGUAAAGCCCUUUUGUUGGGAAAGAAAAGCAGCAGGUUAAUACCCCGCUGUUCUGACGGUACCCAAAGAAUAAGCACCGGCUAACUUCGUG
rnacentral:rRNA from 1 species